rnacentral:rRNA from 1 species
AUGUUCCAUUCUUACUCGCUUUCUUGGGUUGAUGACAUAUAUGUUCAUGCCUCUCACUUGAUUUGUCUUGAUCAUUGUCUCUUGUCCCCAUUAGUUGCGCCUCUCAUAUGUCAUUGUAGUGAGUGCACCCUUGCUAUGCUUAUUAAUCUUGGAGAGUUGGACAUAUUACUUUUGAUGCAUGCUUGUUUGAUUGAGCUUAAUCUCUUUGGUUGUUCUCGUAUCAUAUGCCUCCAUACUAUGAAAUGCUCCCUUGUACUUUCUUAUGAUGAGCAUGAUGCAUACACUUGUUGGGUAUCUUACCACACGAAUGAUAGGCUUUGCACUUCCACUAACCUCAUUUGUUUUUACGAGUGUUUGUCAUGUUCUUUCGUUUUGAAGGAUUCACAAGGUGAUAUCGUCAUGAGACAUAUUGGUCAUGUCAAGGUGUACAUGAUGUGCGACACCAACAUUCGCAAGAAACUACUAAAGGUGAACUCCUUCCCUUUGAGACAUUCUCUUAUACGCAUAUUGGAUGGGUCAUUCUUCCAUUUUUGUUUCCUUCUUGGUGUCUACAUGAUACAUCUCGCGAACGGAGGAGCGACAUUGAAGAUUGGCUCUAUGGACCAUCACUCAUGCAACGACAUCGAGCAUUGGUACAUCAACACUCCUUUGACACAUUGCACCAACACCUCCAUGUUUUUUGAUUGUGCUCACACAUGUCAUGCUCGAUGGACAUCUCAUACUCAUAACAAAUUUGCAUAG